rnacentral:rRNA from 1 species
UAAGUAGAUAGUGAAAUCUGGGGCUCAACCUCACAGGCUAUUAUCUAAACUGGCAAACUCGAGAAUGGUAGAGGUCACUGGAAUUUCUUAUGUAGGAGUGAAAUCCGUAGAUAUAAGAAGGAACACCAAUGGCGUAGGCAGGUGACUGGACCAUUUCUGACACUGAGGCACGAAAGCGUGGGGAGCGAACGGGAUUAGAUACCCUGGUAGUCCACGCCGUAAACUAUGGAUACUA